AGGACGAACGCUGGCGGCGUGCUUAACACAUGCAAGUCACGGGGGCUCGCAAGAGCAACCGGCGAACGGGUGCGUAACACGUGAGCAACCUACCGAUUUGUGGGGGAUAGCCGGCCUAACGGCCGGGUAAUACCGCAUACGCUUUCCGGGUCUCCUGACCUGGGAAGGAAACCUCCGGGGCAAAUCGAGGGGCUCGCGGCCUAUCAGCUAGUUGGCGAGGUCACGGCUCACCAAGGCGACGACGGGUAGC
rnacentral:rRNA from 1 species